AACUCUUUCUAUAAUUAACGUUCACGCAUGCGCACAAUGACUAAUUGAAUUACGUUUCCGCUUACUCUUCUCGUGUUUGAUAGAGGUCAAUUUAUUGAAAAGACAUAUUUGUAGAUAGAAUUUACAUACUGAGACAAUGAAUUUUGAUACAAAGCCCCCUGGUGGUGCUGGUCAGGACAAAAUGGAUCCUAAAGUUCUAGAAUUCAUUCAGCAGCAGCAAGCACAGCAACAAUUAUUACAACAAAUAGAGAAAGUUUCGGAGACAUGCUGGGAUCUAUGUGACAUGACAAUGAGAGACAAGCUUGAUGGGAAACAAGAAACUUGUCUCAAUAAUUGUACUCAGCGCUAUUUUGAUGUUGCAAACUUUAUUGCAGAAAGAUUUAUGCAAAAAGUACAGCAAGCAGGAGGGUCAAUGAGAUAGUACUGAAAAAAACAAAACAUUUUAUACAUCAAAGUUAUUCUGGCUUCAGGAAUGUAAUUAAAAAAAAACUACCAGUAAACAUGCAAGUACAUUAGAUUUGUAAUUUUAAGGAUGUUGAAAAUUCUUUCGCGUGAAAAAUCCAGCUUUUGAUGUGAGGAUAUUACAGUGUACUUGAUGUUGAAAGUGUGAUUCAUUAAAGAACUAUGGAGGGAUAAUAUCUUGUUUGAAACAUGCUCUAAUAAAGUAGUCAUAAUUAUAUAUUGUCAUUAAAACAUUUGAAAAUAGUUAAAACAUAUAAAAUUAUAAGACUUUUUAUACAAAUCUCGAAAAAACAGUCCUUGUGAAUUUUGAUUUGAUAAUGAUCAGAAUUACACAGAGUUUCUGAUGUGUGUAAAUAGAUAUCUAUAUAUAAUGCAUGAUAUCAUUUCUUUCAUAUUUUUUUCAAUGAAAAUUAUUAAUAUCUGUUACAGUAUAAACACUGCAAUCAUAGAUAUAUACACAAUUUUAUAACCAGAUUAGUAUAGUAUGAUAGAAUCCUGGUAAAUGAUUUACAACAGUCGACAUACACAUGGUCUUAAGUAUAUACUAACUGCAUCUUGUUACAUAAAAAAUAUUAUGUCAUUAAGUUUUUAAGUAGGAUGAAAAUAAACAUGUAAAAUAA